rnacentral:lncRNA from 1 species
GUAAUUUAAUCAUGGGGGCAGUUACCCUCAUGCUGUCAUCCUGAUAGUGAAUGAGUUCUCACAAGAUCUAAUGGUUCGACAAUGGGGCUUUCUCCUCUUUUGCUUGGCAAUUCUCCUUUCUGCUUCCAUGUGAAGAAGGACACAUUUGCUUCCCUUUUUGCCAGAGUUGUAAGUUUCCUGAGGUCUCCCCAGCUAUGCUAAACUAUAUGUGCAUGGCUGUUUUUCUUUCAGCACAGACAUCACCUCCUAAGAAAGGCAUUCCGUGCCAGACUGAGAGACAUGAGAAAUACCUCAAAGUGAUACGAAGUUGAUAGACCCCUGCCACACAAAUACAACACUGAAGAUGGAUUUUCAUCAAACGUGGAGGAAGAUGCCAAGAUGAUACAAUAUGGUAUCUGCCCAUGAAGAGAUUUUAUUCUAUAGAAGAGAAAGUCAUAUCCGGCAUCUCACAUGAUGAGACAACAUGAGAGAGUUUUAAAAUCAAGUUAUUCUACUGUCCUUGUUUUUGUCUCCUCACUUGACUUUGGGCUUCCCUAAGUACUCUUGUUCAAAAGUCUGGAUCCUGCAGCUCUUUCAGGAAUAAUUCAUUUUUAUGAUUAUUUUAUACCCUGAUGAUGAGGUAGUUAGGUGAUCUUGGAGCUGUGACCUUCACAAAUGUUACAUGUGUUUCUCAGACUGGGAACUGUGGCUCAUGCCCAUAAUCCCAACACUUUGGGAGGCUGAGGCAGGAGGAUUGCUGGAGCCCAGGAGUUUGAGAUGAGAUGGGGCAACAUGGUGAGACCUUCCCUUUCUAAAAAAAAAUAAAAAAUAAAUAAAAAAAAUCAAACAAUUAUCCAGGAGUGGUAGUGUGCAUCCAUGGUCCCAGCUACAUGGGAGAAUGAAGAGGGUGGAUAGCUUGAGCCCAAG